rnacentral:rRNA from 1 species
UACGUAGGGGGCAAGCGUUGUCCGGAUUUAUUGGGCGUAAAGAGCGUGUAGGCGGCCAGGUAGGUCCGUUGUGAAAACUCGAGGCUCAACCUCGAGACGCCGGUGGAAACCGUAAAGCUAGAGUCCGGAAGAGGAGAGUGGAAUUCCUGGUGUAGCGGUGAAAUGCGCAGAUAUCAGGAAGAACACCCGUGGCGAAGGCGGCUCUCUGGGACGGUACUGACGCUGAGACGCGAAAGCGUGGGGAGCGAACAGG